CGAGCGAACGCUGGCGGCAGGCCUAAUACAUGCAAGUCGAGCGGUCCCUUCGGGGGCAGCGGCGGACGGGUGAGUAACGCGUGGGAACGUGCCCUUUGGUACGGAACAACUGAGGGAAGCUUCAGCUAAUACCGUAUGUGCCCUUCGGGGGAAAGAUUUAUCGCCAUUGGAGCGGCCCGCGUUGGAUUAGGUAGUUGGUGAGGUAAAGGCUCACCAAGCCUACGAUCCAUAGCUGGUCUGAGAGGAUGAUCAGCCACACUGGGACUGAGACACGGCCCAGACUCCUACGGGAGGCAGCAGUAGGGAAUCUUGCGCAAUGGGCGAAAGCCUGACGCAGCCAUGCCGCGUGAAUGAUGAAGGUCUUAGGAUUGUAAAAUUCUUUCACCGGGGACGAUAAUGACGGUACCCGGAGAAGAAGCCCCGGCUAACUUCGUG
rnacentral:rRNA from 1 species